GAAGAAGAAGACUCCUGGUCCUGAAAUCUGGACUUUGAAUACGUGUGGUCCUCCAUGUUUUCUUCUUCUAACUUGCCGGUGCCGGGAAGCAACGAUACCCGUUAGCAGCGUUAGCAGCAUUAGCAGCAUUAGCAGCCGUGAGUUUAUCAUAUGACAGAGAAAACACAAAAGGCCGAGCAGUAUGUCCUGUAUGUCCCUCACCGGCUAACGUAUUUCAAGAUGGAGCAUGAAUACACAGCGUCCACCCCAGUUCGUGAGGAUGCAAAUGUAAAAUUUCAGAGCAAUAAGAAUACUUGAAAUUGAUGGUGGUGGUAAAUAUUCAUGUAAAAGGACGAGUUUGUGACCGGCAACACCGAUUUGGAUGAUGAACGACUACACACGUUCCACACUGGGACUUUAA